rnacentral:rRNA from 1 species
GCUUGUCUCAAAGAUUAAGCCAUGCAUGUCUAAGUAUAAACAAAUCUAUACUGUGAAACUGCGAAUGGCUCAUUAUAUCAGUUAUAGUUUAUUUGAUGGUUCUUGCUACUUGGAUAACCGUAGUAAUUCUAGAGCUAAUACAUGCGUCAAUACCCUUCUGGGGUAGUAUUUAUUAGAUUGAAACCAACCGCUUCGGCGUGAUGUGGUGAUUCAUAAUAAAUUUGCGAAUCGCAUGGCUUUACGCCGGCGAUGUUUCAUUCAAAUUUCUGCCCUAUCAAUUUGAUGGUAGGAUAGAGGCCUACCAUGGUGGUAACGGGUGACGGAGAAUUAGGGUUCGAUUCCGGAGAGGGAGCCUGAGAAACGGCUACCACAUCCAAGGAAGGCAGCAGG